UGGGGCAUAGCUCAGUGGUAGAGUGCGGUGCUUAGCAUCCUUGAUGUCCUGGGUUCAAUCCCCAGUUCCUCCA
rnacentral:tRNA from 1 species